rnacentral:rRNA from 1 species
GUACACUCCUACGGGAGGCAGCAGUGGGGAAUAUUGGACAAUGGGCGCAAGCCUGAUCCAGCCAUGCCGCGUGAGUGAUGAAGGCCCUAGGGUUGUAAAGCUCUUUCACCGGUGAAGAUAAUGACGGUAACCGGAGAAGAAGCCCCGGCUAACUUCGUGCCAGCAGCCGCGGUAAUACGAAGGGGGCUAGCGUUGUUCGGAUUUACUGGGCGUAAAGCGCACGUAGGCGGACUAUUAAGUCAGGGGUGAAAUCCCGGGGCUCAACCCCGGAACUGCCUUUGAUACUGGUAGUCUUGAGUUCGAGAGAGGUGAGUGGAAUUCCGAGUGUAGAGGUGAAAUUCGUAGAUAUUCGGAGGAACACCAGUGGCGAAGGCGGCUCACUGGCUCGAUACUGACGCUGAGGUGCGAAAGCGUGGGGAGCAAACAGGAUUAGAAACCCCUGUAGUCCCAU